rnacentral:rRNA from 1 species
AUUGAACGCUGGCGGCAGGCCUAACACAUGCAAGUCGAGCGGAUGAAGGGAGCUUGCUCCUGGAUUCAGCGGCGGACGGGUGAGUAAUGCCUAGGAAUCUGCCUGGUAGUGGGGGAUAACGUCCGGAAACGGGCGCUAAUACCGCAUACGUCCUGAGGGAGAAAGUGGGGGAUCUUCGGACCUCACGCUAUCAGAUGAGCCUAGGUCGGAUUAGCUAGUUGGUGGGGUAAAGGCCUACCAAGGCGACGAUCCGUAACUGGUCUGAGAGGAUGAUCAGUCACACUGGAACUGCGACACGGUCCAGACUCCUACGGGAGGCAGCAGUGGGGAAUAUUGGACAAUGGGCGAAAGCCUGAUCCAGCCAUGCCGCGUGUGUGAAGAAGGUCUUCGGAUUGUAAAACACUUUAAGUUGGGAGGAAGGGCAGUAAGUUAAUACCUUGCUGUUUUGACGUUACCAACAGAAUAAGCACCGGCUAACUUCGUG